rnacentral:rRNA from 1 species
UGCCAGCCGCCGCGGUAAUACGAAGGGUGCUAGCGUUGUUCGGAAUUACUGGGCGUAAAGAGCAUGUAGGCGGAUGAAUUAGUCAGAGGUGAAAGCCCCGAGCUCAACUUGGGAACUGCCUUUGAUACUGUUUAUCUAGAGUCCGAGAGAGGUUAGUGGAAUUCCCAGUGUAGAGGUGAAAUUCGUAGAUAUUCGGAGGAACACCAGUGGCGAAGGCGGCUCACUGGCUCAUUACUGACGCUAAUGCGCGAAAGCUCGGGGAGCAAACAGGAUUAGAUA